GCUAGACCUGAAGGAGCUCCUAACAAGGGGAAGCUCGCCAACAGGGAGAUGAUGGAGGUCGAGCUGAUGGGCAGGAAAGCAAUGAUCUUUGAAAAAAAAGCAAUGAUCUUUGAAAAAAGGCCAAGUCUUGUAAUGGCCAAAGGGCAACAACCGACAACCGUAGCGAGCUGGCCUAAUAGCGUUUCAAUCAUUAUGCGCGCAGAUCUGGAAGUCGGUGACGCACGCGAGGAAGCUUGCCUCGACGAAAACGACGACAUUCCAGAUGACAGCGAACUGUAGGCACUUCACCCUGAGUAUUUCGGGAACGCCAUCCAGAGCAUCGCGACGGCCGUCGAGAAGGCAGAGAUUCAGCAGCAGAGCUAGAGGGAAGGAGGAACUCGCCUUCCAGAUGCCGAAGCUUCGGUAGUAGAGCAGGAAGGAAGUAGGAACUGGCCUUGCAAAUGGCGGAGCUUCCGCAGCAGAGUAGAAUGUUUGACGGUCAUCAGAGAAGAUACUCUGCAUUCAGUUGGUAAAGCUCUUGUUGAGCGAGCAAUAUGUGACAGCAGAUAUGAAGGCGGAUGAUUUGGUCUAUGUUUUCUUGCUUUCUACUUUUUGGUUGAAAUAUUGUACAGAUCCCCAUUGGGUUUCUUUUUUUGCACAGAGCAAUUGGUUUUAGUUGCUUUGGGGUUUCGUCGCUAGAUGCAUAACAUCCCCAUUAUUUGUUUUGUUCUCUGUAAAUAUCAAAUUCCAUUUGGAAUACAAUGGGAUGGGAGUCCAUACCCAUGCAGAUAUUUCAUUGAAGCAAAAUGAGAGAUUUAAGUGUGCUUUUAUUUC